CACCAUGGAUGAUACAUUCGUGAACAGACUCUGUAGCGAUUCAGCUAGAUCAUCUCCCUGAGCAUCCGCCAUAGAUAGAGAAUAGAAAGGCUCUUCCUUUGUCUGACGAAACAGAGGAGCAACUGAAACAGAGUAGUACAUGGACGAGAGACAAGCUGGCAUUCUUUAUAAUAUCGUUACUGACGGAAAAUGAGAACAGAGCCGAAACAGAGUACAUAGACAAGAGCGAGCUUUUAUAUGGUCUUAUGAAACAGAGUACAUAGACAGAGUCUCAUGAAGUUGUUCCUUAGCAAUAACAAUAGCUUAAACAACAAAGGCCAAUGGUUCUCUCACCAUUUUGCAGGAUGUGAACACAAUGAUGAAUUGAGUAUGGUAUAUAUAGUUUAUACAUUUGAUGUGCAUCUUUUUUAAAUUUAGUGGUGGCUCUUGUACAGAUCGAUGCUCCCUAGCUGUAGUCUGGAGGUUGAAUUCACGUCUCGUACA